AACGAACGCUGGCGGCAUGCCUAACACAUGCAAGUCGAACGAGACCUUCGGGUCUAGUGGCGCAUGGGUGCGUAACGCGUGGGAACCUGCCCUUAGGUUCGGAAUAACUCCCCGAAAGGGGUGCUAAUACCGGAUAAUGUCUUCGGACCAAAGAUUUAUCGCCUUUGGAUGGGCCCGCGUUGGAUUAGCUAGUUGGUAGGGUAAAAGCCUACUAAGGCGACGAUCCAUAGCUGGUCUGAGAGGAUGAUCAGCCACACUGGGACUGGGACACGGCCCAGACUCCUACGGGAGGCAGCAGUGGGGAAUAGUGGACAAUGGGCGGAAGCCUGAUCCAGCAAUGCCGGGUGAAUGAUGAAGGCCUUAAGGUAGUAAAGCUCUUUUAACCGGGAUGAUAAUGACGGUACCGGGAGAAUAAGCUCCGGCUAACUCCGUG
rnacentral:rRNA from 1 species